UCAUCCGCCAAGCAAUGGGAGGCUAAAGGUCCCAAACCAUGUGUGCCUGAAGACAAAGCCUGGUUUCUCCUAAGUGACACCCCCUGAGGACUCCCCACCACCCCCGACACACCGUUUGAAAAACCAGCAACAAGAAAACACGAGCAGGUGUAUUUCUGGGGGCAACUGCCGUCUCACCAAAGCCUCCUUACAUUUCAUUCUGAUGCUCCCACAACAGUUCGUUAUCUCAUCCUGUACUGCGAGUACUGCUUUCCACCUGCCUCCUCCACGACACCGCUCAAGGACAAGGACAUCACAACGAGCAGUCAUCAGAGAAUGCUUGACUGUGUGCUGAGCAUGAAGCUAAGAAUUUUACAAACAUGAUCUCAUUUCACCCGUGUGCUAAGCCUAAGAGGAAGGCACUGUUACAGUCUCCCAUUUAUGGCUCAGCGAACAACGUCAUGGGCAGGCAUUUGUACAUAAGUGCAUCUUGAGAACAACGGAACUGAGCAACACCCCAUGGUAGUCUCUUCUCCAGUUACCUGCAUCCCUAUUUCUCUGUGCUUCCUCCUCAUUGGUUUGCAAGUUGCCCUUUUUCCUCCUCUGGAAGGAAUCGCACUGUGAUAAUCACUGUUUCCCAUCCUCCCCCCUCUUCCUGGACACCUAAAAGACUACAGUUCCCAGGCUUCUGUGGUUGGGGAAGCCAUGUGACUAAUUCUGGCCAAUGGCUUGAGAGUAGGCGUGUCCUCUGACACUAGGGUGAAAGCGUUUAAAGGCUGUGUGUGAUUCUCCGUGUUGUUUCUCUGUCCAUAGUGAAUCAUCUGUUGGAAGUGCCAUGGGAAGUAGUUACCACGUGGAAGGCAGCUUCCCCGGAAAGCUGCCCAGACUCAGGGCUUUGCAGGAACAAGAAAUAAACUUGCAUAAAGCCCCCGA